UACGGAGGGUGCAAGCGUUACUCGGAAUCACUGGGCGUAAAGAGCGCGUAGGCGGGAUAGCAAGUCAGAUGUGAAAUCCUAUGGCUUAACCAUAGAACUGCAUUUGAAACUGUUUCCCUUGAGUAUCGGAGAGGUCAUCGGAAUUCCUAGUGUAGCGGUGAAAUGCGUAGAUAUUAGGAAGAACACCAGUGGCGAAGGCGGAUGACUGGACGAUGACUGACGUUGAGGCUCGAAAGCGUGGGGAGCAAACAGG
rnacentral:rRNA from 1 species